rnacentral:rRNA from 1 species
GACGAACGCUGGCGGCGUGCCUAAUACAUGCAAGUAGAACGCAGUUGCGAACGGGUGAGUAACGCGUAGGUAACUGCCUCAUAGCGGGGAAUAACUAUUGGAAACGAUAGCUAAUACCGCAUACUGUGAGAUGGACCUGAGUUGUAUUAGCUAGUAGGUGAGGUAAAGGCUAACCAAGGCGACGAUACAUAGCCGACCUGAGCGGGUGGGCGGCCAAAAGUGGACUGAGAAACGGCCCAGACUCCUACGGGAGGCAGCAGGAAGGAAUCUUCGGCAAUGGAAGGAAGUCUGACCGAGCCACGGCGCGUGAGUGAAGAAGGGUUUCGGAUCGUAAAGCGCUGUUGUUAGAGAAGCGGUACCUAACCAGAAAGGGACGGCUAACUACGCGCCAGCAGCCGCGGUAAUAC